rnacentral:lncRNA from 8 species
AUGUUUCGUGGUUUUCACAAUCCCGGAGAACUUCACCGGGGCCCUGCUCCCUUAGGCCACCCAUCCCAUGUACAGCCACCCGGUCCCAGCUACGGAGGGCCCUUUGGCCCGCCACCCCACGUUCCACUGCCUGGACACUUUCCUCCUGGAUCUUGUCAUCCUUUCUUACCUCCCGGAUCGGGAAGUGAAUACCUCCACAGGCCAAUGAGGGAACAUUAUAUCAAUACUCCACACUGCAGCAGUUAUUCCAUUGACCGCAGCACAGUGAUCAGUCUGGGUAGUCAACAGAUUCUCCCACCAGACACACAGCAUCUUCAGAUGCCACAGUGGCCCACCAAUCCUUUGGAAUCAUGCCAAAGAGACAAGAGUGAGAACUUGACUGCUGGUGAAGAAUUCCUCAGAUGCCUUGCGGCUAAUAAGCCAGUCCCUGACUUCCUCAAAGGAGUCAACCUGUUGGACGCAGGGAAGGUAGUCAAGGCACCAGGUGUACCAGAAGACCGGGGUUAUGAGAGGCAGAGACUCCGGAGCAAAUCUCGCAGUCCAGCGAAGGAAAGCAGGGGCAGGAGCAAGAGCCGAGCAAAGAGCCAGGUAAGAAGCAAGAGCCGGGCAAGAAGCAAGAGCUGUCCGCGCAGCAGAAGUCGUACCCGAGGGAAAAGCCGGGCAAGAAGCAGGAGUCGCAGUCGUGGAAAGAGCCAGGUCAGAAGCAAGAGCAAGGCUCGUAGUAGGAGCCGGAGCCGAGGGAAAAGUCGGGCAAGGAGCAAAAGCAGAUCAAGGAGUAGGAGUCGCAGCUAUGGAAAGAGCCGGGGCAGGUUGGACCAUCAUUCAGACCACAGGGACAAAAGGAGCCCCAUUCGGAGCAGUAGCAGCAGGAUCAGUAAUCACUCCUCCGCACACAAUGACCUGCUCGAGGGCCUGAAACGGGUUAUGAACAGCAAGCAACUGGAGGACAGUAUGCCUUCCAUCAAGAAUGCCAUUCUCACAAUACAGGCCAAUAACUUUAGCAGAGAUAUCCAGAGCAACUGUCUUCCAUGUGGACCAGUCUUGGCCAGCAGACAGGAAUUUCUUCAAGCCUCAGAUGGGCCUAAGCCAGUCAGCAGACAGGAGGAGACCGACAGCAAUCUUCUCCCCCACGAGAGAGUGGGCUGUGACUUCUCCUGGCUGCAGGGCACCAGGGAGGUCUCACCUGUUCAGAAGCCGGAGGAGGUCGAGGAUGAGGAGAACUUCCUCUAUGGGAAUGAGGAUAACCAGUCAAAACAACGCCCUGCCACCCUGCCUUUUGCACAGUCCACAUCCAUUACCCAGCAGAGCGAUGCAGAGAUCUCCCCAGCAGGCCCACCCUACUAUCAAAGCCAGCCUCUGUUCGGGAACCAUGGUGAAGUCCAGGAGUUCAAGAUGCCUCCUCAACCGGUCCAGUCUAGUGUGAGGCCUGAGCAGAGGGUGCAGCCUGUUCCUGCUCCUGAUGUGAAGCCCACCCCCACUGUGAAGGAAUGUGAGGAGUUCAAGGCCAUGUUGAAGAACAUUGGGCUGAAUCUGGGCACAUCAGAGAUCAGUAAGAUGAUGGUCAAGCUGCAGCAACAGAAGGAGGGGAAGAUGCCAGAGCAGAAGAGGGAGGAGAAAGUGCCAUCACCAGCACCAGUGCUGCCUCUUCCUCUUGUAGUUGGGGCAUCACAGGAGCCCAGACUGGCCUCGCCAGCACCCGGGGCAGCACUCGGGACAGCACCAAUACGACAAGCAUUGGAGUCAUUACAGUUCAUUAUUAAAGCAACAAGGGAGAAAAGGGCCAAUAGUGAUCCACAUGAUGGCAACCAUUCCCAGAGGAAUUCAGACAAACAGAAGAGCAAAGAUGACGAGGAGAGUCAGAGGAGAUCGAGACAGGACCAAAUGAAAAGGAAAGACACUCUUGUGAAGGAACUGGAGGAAUUGCUAAAGCAGGAUGGGUCUACCUUUUUGAUUCCGGUCAUCGGGUUCUACUGUCAGAGGUGUGAGGAGUUCUUCGGAGACCUGACCACUGCUGAGGGCCAUGCUGCAACCCACCGGCGGAAUGAGCCUAGCAUGCAGCAGCAUGGAGACAGACGACCUGGAGAGGACAGAAGACACCCUAGCCAUUACAUCGGGCACCCCCUGGCUCCAGAGCGGAGGGACCAGAGAGACCCAAGAGAUCAGAGGUAUCGCAAACUAGACGAGGGCCCAAAGGGUUACAGGAACGACAGGGAGAAGAUCUACGUGAAAGAGGAACGACCUGGAAGCCCCAGGAUAAAGAUGACGGUGGUCCGCGGGCACACCCCACCAGGUCUGCAGAAGGCCAGGGGGAGAGAGGAGGGGAGGGUGGAUAAGGGCUCUUGUGCUGCUUCCUCUGGCCCUGCCAGUGGGAAAUAUGAUAGGGUCAAACUGGAGGAGGUGGAGACCAAAGGAAAGCCCAACGUGGAAGUAUGUGACAAAGAUAAAGGAGAAAGCAGUUCUAGCAGUGAUGACGAGAAAGACAAAUCUCCUAAAGGCAACAAAAAGAAAAAGAAGAAGGAGAAGAAGAAGAAGAAGAAGAAGAAGCAAAGGGGUUAG